rnacentral:rRNA from 1 species
UACGGAGGGGGGCUAGCGUUGUUCGGAAUUACUGGGCGUAAAGCGCGCGUAGGCGGCUUUGUAAGUUAGAGGUGAAAGCCCGGAGCUUAACUCCGGAAUUGCCUUUAAGACUGCAUCGCUAGAAUUGUGGAGAGGUAAGUGGAAUUCCACGUGUAGCGGUGAAAUGCGUAGAGAUGUGGAGGAACACCAGUGGCGAAGGCGACUUUCUGGGCUGUAACUGACGCUGAGGCGCGAAAGCGUGGGGAGCAAACAGG